rnacentral:rRNA from 1 species
UCGAAUAAAGUUCUAGAAAAAAAUUGAUAAUGACAGUUUUUUAUCUAUAAGUCUUGACCAAAUUACGUGCCAGCAGUCGCGGUAAUACGUAGAAGACUAGUGUUAUUCAUAUUUAUUAGGUUUAAAGGGUACCUAGACGGCAUUAUUAGCCCAAAGAAGGGUACGGUUUUGCUAGAGUUUUAUAAGAGAAGGAGAGUAUUUAUGAAGUAGAGAUGAAAUUUUUUGAUAACAUAGAGACUGCCAACAGCGAAAGCGACCUUCUAUGUAAAAACUGACGUUGAGGGACGAAGGCUUGGGUAGCGAACAGGAUUAGAGACCCUAGUAGUCCAAGCAGAAAAUUAUGAAUGCCAUAUAUAAAUGAAAAUGUAAGCAUUCCACCUUAAGAGUAAUGCGGCAACGCAGGAACUGAAAUCAUUAGACCGUUUCUGAAACCAGUAGUGAAGUAUGUUAUUUAAUUCGAUGAUCCGCGAAAAACCUUACCACACAAGCGUUGCACGGCUGUCUUCAGUUAAUGUCGUGAGAUAUUGGUUAGUUCCAUAAAAUUAACGAAAACCC